rnacentral:rRNA from 1 species
GACGAACGCUGGCGGCGUGCUUAACACAUGCAAGUCGAACGGAAAGGCCCUGCUUUUGUGGGGUGCUCGAGUGGCGAACGGGUGAGUAACACGUGAGUAACCUGCUCUUGACUUUGGGAUAACUUCAGGAAACUGGGGCUAAUAUCGGAUAGGAGCUCACGUUGCAUGGUGGGGGUUGGAAAGUCUCGGCGGUUGGGGAUGGACUCGCGGCUUAUGAGCUUGUUGGUGGGGUAGUGGCUUACCAAGGCUUUGGCGGGUAGCCGGCCUGGGAGGGUGACCGGCCACAUUGGGACUAAGAGACGGCCCAGACUCCUACGGGGGGCAACGGUGGGAAAUAUUGCACAGUGGGCGGAAGCCUGAUGCAGCAACGCCGCGUGCGGGAUGACGGCCUUCGGGUUGUGAACCGCUUUCGCCUGUGACGAAGCGUGAGUGACGGUAAUGAGUAAAGAAGCACCGGCUAACUACGUG